AGAGCUGACCCUUUGAUCCCUCGGCUUUAAUACUGAGUGUGGGGCAGAUGGGAUGGAAAACCCCCUUGGAGGUCUGUUUGGCAUCCCCCCUCCUGUCCCCCCCUUCCCCAGCUGAGGGUGAGCUGAGAAGUAGAAGACAGAGGCUCACCCUGGUCCCCCUCCCCACAUUUGGGUAUGGCCCCAAGGACCACCCUGGAGCUGGGUAUGACACCCCAUUGGUACCCAGACCUUUGAGAGCUAUGGGUACAGCUCCCCGUGAACCUCCCCGCACCCCUUACUUUGGGCAUGGGCUCUUUAUACAUAAGGUGGGACACUGGGGACAGCGGGGGACUCCUCCUCCCCAGGGAUUUGAGGUCCCCAAGGUGACAGGGCACAGCUGGGGUGUUCUGACACUCAAAGCCCUCCCAACCCCAUCUUGUCUUCUUGUUCCUGGCUCCCCACAAGCUUCCAGCUGUUGUGGGGUAGCAGGGACACUGCUGGGUUCCUCUGCUAUGUCCAAAAAUCACAAUCAAGCUCUCAGCUCUACAUGAUCUCUCCCCAAAAAUCCUUUUUAUUCUUCAUUUUCCAUUCUUUUUCUUCUUUUUUUGGUUCCCGGGAACAAAGGGCUGACAAGUUUUCAUCCCAAAUAGACAAAUGUCCUGAAACAUCAAGAAAAACCCCCAGAGAUGGAUGGAGCAGAACUGGUGCAUUGUGGUGGAACCACAAUUCAUCAUGGUCUGGUUGGGGGUUUGCUCCAUCCUUUGUGAUAACGGACAGGAAAAUCAGCUCUUUUUUGGGGGAAGAAUCCUGCUUAUUUAUGGGUGCCAAUCCUUGCCGAUGUCUCUGCCCCAGCACAGGCUUCCGGGAGAGGCACAGCCCUGGGAAAAGCCACCUGCACCGCCUCCCAUUAAGGAACUGGGAGGGUGAUGGGUUUCCUUUGGUGCUUUGCCCUUGGUGGUUUUUUUUUAUGACUCUGGACUUGUUGAUGUGUAUCAUUCUGGAUGAAGAACCCGAGCUCAAACGACGUGGGAGGUGGAGCCUUAAACCGCACCCUGGAACUGGGCAAAGUCUUUGGAAGGGAUUUUGAAUAAAUCCUGGGGAGACCAGUGAGCAAGAGCAGGGGCUGCACUGGGAGCUGCAUGUGGAUCCUGUCCUGCCCUCGACCAAGGGUUCCUUCUGACGCCAGGGUGCAGUUGUGUGCUCUGGCGGCAAAUGGGAUUCCCCACAAGCCCAUGGGGCCUCCUCAGUCCUUUCCUGACUCUCCACCUCCUCCGGCUGGGAUCAG